GGUCUAUGAACAAUUCCAUGAAUAAGCAAAUUGGGAAGUCAUUCACAAUGUACUGCUGCUCUCACCGGCAGAAAUAGAAGGUGUUCGCGGUCUUGACAAGAUGCAAAUGUUAACCCGAUACCUAAAUUAAGAUCCCGAAAAAAGAGUAAGAAUAGUGUCACGUCCCAAACUACCCCUAGACGUGACUGACACUCAGCUAACACCACCCGCCAGGCAAACUAUAUUUUCACAUCUUAGCCAUUAAUUUGCAGCAUUUGAUUAAUUAAAUAAGUAUUCAAAUAAUCUGAUAAUUAAUUACGAACAAUUAAUAUCUCGAAAUAUUAAACUGAAACUCUAGCCCAAAUCCCACACUAGAGAUGGAGCUUCUAAGAGAAUUACAAAAGACAUCAUAUGAAUAAAUAAUAAGGACCCUUUUGGCAGCCUCCACGAACAAUGCGGCAGCUCACCUCAAUAACUGAAUCAACUAUAGUAAACUCGUCAGCUACUAGCUCCGUCUUUACCAACACUAUCUGCAUAGACAUGCAGGUAAGGAGUGAGUUGUACGUAAAUAUAACCCAGUAAGAUCAUCUACCCACCACUCUAAAUACCUCUGAAACAAGUGUUAGAAAAUACAAACACACUACAACACGAAUGAUAUAGUAAAUAUGAUAAUUAUACAAUAACUCAAUAUAUGUGUAUUAACAAAGUUAUUAAGAAUUAACCAACAAGGAUAUCCACUAAGGACUUAUCAUAAUUGCAGUGAAAGAAAUUCACCAACACACCAGCAGUCCACAACGGCACCACAAUGCCUCAAAUAUGUAACAAAACAUACACAAUGCUCGAGUGAUGUAUAAAGGCAUACACAAUGUCCCAACAUCAUGGCGCACAACCGUAUCAAACUCAAUAUCAUGGCGCACAGCCGUACCAAACUCAAUAUCAUGGCGCACAGCCGUAUCAAACUCAACAUCAUGGCGCACAGCCGUAUCAAACUCAAUAUCAUGGCGCACAGCCGUACCAAACUCAACAUCAUGGCGCACAGCCGUAUCAAACUCAAUAUCAGGGCGCACAGCCGUACCAAACUCAACAUCAUGGCGCACAGCCGUAUCAAACUCAACAUCAUGGCGCAUAGCCGUAUCAAACUCAACAUCAUGGCGCACAACCAUAUCACACUAUCAAACAACUUAUAAAAUAAUAUUUUUUUUCUUCAUAAAAUAAUAUAUUUGCGGCUAGUCUAAGACCACCGACUUUAUCAAGCGCACGCUUGUCCCAACACAUAGACCAGGCAGAGAAAACACAAUUUCAAAACGGGUUUUAGAAAAGCAAGUAUCCAAGCUUAAAGUUUCACUUACCUCGCUAACGUGAAGUUCCUCAGCCUUGCAACGUCUAGAACACCAACUAAACGGCCUCCAAUGGCCUCAAUCUAUCCAAAAUAUUAAUUAACAGUGUCAAUUAUGCUAAACGAGGUCAAAUCUCAAUUUUCCUAAUUUUCAAACUUAGAGCUAAACUUUCUUAUCCGAUUCGCUAUUAAAUAUGUGCAUUGACAUAUUGGUUUUCAUCUCCAAGAGAAUAAUAAUUAUCGGGAAUAACUAACUAGUCACUUUGCCUCAAAAUUAGUCUCUUUUAUUGCUGCAACAAGUUCAAUAGUAGAGCUGUUAUAUCCUCGUAAUGAUACUAAAUUAAAUAGGGACAUGAAACUAUGAGAAGUAUUAUCAUGUUACUGUCAAGAAACUAAAGAAUGAUUGCUUCCGUUUCUUUUUUUAUGUGAUAUUUUGAGAAGAAAGACCACACCCUUUGUCCCAAUUAUUGGCAUACCAUUGUAAGGAUAUUAAUUAAUAACCUUUCUGCAAUUUAAAACCAUGUACAGAAAGAUGAAAAUAAUUAUAUAACUUUUCCUCCACAAAAUUUUCCCUCAUUAUUGACUUAGUCAUUAUGUCUACUAGUUAUAGUAAAAUUAUUGAUUCCUACAUAUUAUACUGCCAUAAUUGCCAUUGAUAAAAAUAAGUACAUACUAAAAUAAGUAAUACCUGAAGCCUUCUUUCUUCAACAAGUAGACACGGCAAUGAAAAUAACUCAAAUAGCUUCUUUCUUUUGCCGCCGUCAGAUUCCCUACCCAAAUCCCUUUUUUAAUUCCUCCUUC
rnacentral:lncRNA from 1 species